rnacentral:rRNA from 1 species
ACCUACGGGAGGCAGCAGUGGGGGAUAUUGCACAAUGGGGGAAACCCUGAUGCAGCGACGCCGCGUGAGUGAAGAAGUAUUUCGGUAUGUAAAGCUCUAUCAGCAGGGAAGAAAAUGACAGUACCUGACCAAGAAGCCCCGGCUAACUAUGUGCCAGCAGCCGCGGUAAUACGUAGGGCGCAAGCGUUAUCCGGAUUUACUGGGUGUAAAGGGAGCGUAGACGGUUAUGUAAGUCUGGAGUGAGAGCCCGUGGCCCAACCCCGGGACUGCUUUGGUAA